AGUAACGGCGAGUGAAGCGGUAACAGCUCAAAUUUGAAAUCUGGCUCUUGCGGAGUCCGAGUUGUAAUUUGUAGAAGAUGCUUUGGGUUGUGGGUUCGGCCUAAGUUCCUUGGAACAGGACGUCAUAGAGGGUGAGAAUCCCGUAUGUGGCCGAGGCCCGCGCCUAUGUAAAGCUCUUUCAACGAGUCGAGUUGUUUGGGAAUGCAGCUCAAAAUGGGUGGUAAAUUUCAUCUAAAGCUAAAUAUGGGCCAGAGACCGAUAGCGCACAAGUAGAGUGAUCGAAAGAUGAAAAGCACUUUGGAAAGAGAGUAAACAGUACGUGAAAUUGUUGAAAGGGAAGCGCUUGCAACCAGACUUGGGCGCUGCCGAUCACCUUGAGUUUUCUCGAGUGCACUCGACAGCGCACAGGCCAGCAUCGGUUCGGGUGGCUGGAUAAAGGCCGUAGGAAUGUGGCUCUCUUCGGGGAGUGUUAUAGCCUACGGUGCCAUGCAGCCCAGCCGGACCGAGGACCGCGCCUUCGGGCUAGGAUGCUGGCGUAAUGGUUGUAAGCGACCCGUCUUGAAACACGGACCAAGGAGUCUAACAUCUAUGCGAGUGUUUGGGUGGUAAACCCAUACGCGGAAUGAAAGUGAACGUAGGUGAGAACCCCUUUGGGGCGCAUCAUCGACCGAUCCUGAUGUCUUCGGAUGGAUUUGAGUAAGAGCAUAGCUGUUGGGACCCGAAAGAUGGUGAACUAUGCCUGAAUAGGGUGAAGCCAGAGGAAACUCUGGUGGAGGCUCGCAGCGGUUCUGACGUGCAAAUCGAUCGUCAAAUUUGGGCAUAGGGGCGAAAGACUAAUCGAACCAUCUAGUAGCUGGUUCCUGCCGAAGUUUCCCUCAGGAUA
rnacentral:rRNA from 1 species